AUAGCGAAAUGGACCCGGGCUGCACAGUGAUCAAUCUUCUUUCGCAGAAUUAAUUGUUGGACCCGAUCAUGCAUGAUCUCAGAGUAAAUAUUCUGAAUUCUCUCGUUCCUCUGUCUGCAUAGAUCUCAAGAUGAUCAUUGCAUGAUCCAACGUUUAUUCAUGUGAAAGAAGAUAAACCUUUUUUUCCCAUAGAAGGAAGAUUCUAUGUCUUACUGUUU
rnacentral:lncRNA from 1 species